rnacentral:rRNA from 1 species
UGAGGAAUAUUGGUCAAUGGGCGCAAGCCUGAACCAGCCAUGCCGCGUGCAGGAUGACGGUCCUAUGGAUUGUAAACUGCUUUUGUACGAGAAGAAACAACAUUACGUGUAAUGUCUUGACGGUAUCGUAAGAAUAAGGAUCGGCUAACUCCGUGCCAGCAGCCGCGGUAAUACGGAGGAUCCAAGCGUUAUCCGGAAUCAUUGGGUUUAAAGGGUCCGUAGGCGGUUUAGUAAGUCAGUGGUGAAAGCCCAUCGCUCAACGGUGGAACGGCCAUUGAUACUGCUGAACUUGAAUUAUUAGGAAGUAACUAGAAUAUGUAGUGUAGCGGUGAAAUGCUUAGAGAUUACAUGGAAUACCAAUUGCGAAGGCAGGUUACUACUAAUGGAUUGACGCUGAUGGACGAAAGCGUGGGUAGCGAACA